GUUGAUUGGGAAACUCAUCAAUUUAUUAUGAAAUGCCGAGACAAUCUUGUCAGUCGAUGGCGGGCUCCGGUUAUCCCUCGGGAUAAUGAGCAUUAUGCUCCAGGCAGAUUACAAAGACCGGCAAGACCUCAAAUCCUGUCAUUCGGAGUUUCAUCGCAUCCUUUGAUGUGGCAUUUUU
rnacentral:sRNA from 1 species